rnacentral:rRNA from 1 species
CUACGGGGCGCAGCAGUGAGGAAUAUUGGACAAUGGUCGAAAGACUGAUCCAGCCAUGCCGCGUGCAGGAUGACUGCCCUAUGGGUUGUAAACUGCUUUUAUACGGGAAGAAAAACACCUACGUGUAGGUGACUGACGGUACCGUAAGAAUAAGGACCGGCUAACUCCGUGCCAGCAGCCGCGGUAAUACGGAGGGCCCAAGCGUUAUCCGGAAUCAUUGGGUUUAAAGGGUCCGUAGGCGGGCUAUUAGGUCAGAGGUGAAAGUUUGCAGCUCAACUGUAAAAUUGCCUUUGAUACUGAUAGUCUUGAAUUGUAGUGAAGUGGUUAGAAUAUGUGGUGUAGCGGUGAAAUGCAUAGAUAUCACAUAGAAUACCGAUUGCGAAGGCAGAUCACUAACUAUAUAUUGACGCUGAGGGACGAAAACGUGGGGAGCGAACGGGAUUAGAUACCCCCGUAGUC